rnacentral:rRNA from 1 species
AGAGUUUGAUCCUGGCUCAGAACGAACGCUGGCGGCAUGCCUUAUACAUGCAAGUCGAACGAGAAAGUCACUUCGGUGGCGAGUAGAGUGGCGCACGGGUGAGUAACGCGUAGAUGAUCUACCCUUCAGUCUGGGACAACUCUUGGAAACGGGAGCUAAUACCGGAUAAAACCUUCGGGUUGAAAGCUUUAGUGCUGGAGGACGAGUCUGCGUACCAUUAGCUUGUUGGUGGGGUAAGAGCCUACCAAGGCGACGAUGGUUAGCGGGUCUGAGAGGACGAUCCGCCACACUGGAACUGAGACACGGUCCAGACUCCUACGGGAGGCAGCAGUAGGGAAUAUUGCGCAAUGGGGGAAACCCUGACGCAGCAAUGCCGCGUGAGUGAAGAAGGCCCUCGGGUCGUAAAGCUCUUUUAUGGGGGAAGAUGAUGACGGUACCCCAUGAAUAAGCACCGGCUAACUACGUGCCAGCAGCCGCGGUAAUACGUAGGGUGCGAGCGUUGUUCGGAAUUACUGGGCGUAAAGGGCGUGCAGGCGGAUUGGUAAGCCGGAGGUGAAAGCCCGGGGCUCAACCCCGGAGGGUCUUUCGGAACUGCCAGUCUUGAGAGGGUCAGGGGCCAGCGGAAUUCCUGGUGUAGAGGUGAAAUUCGUAGAGAUCAGGAGGAACACCGGCGGCGAAAGCGGCUGGCUGGGGCCACUCUGACGCUGAGGCGCGAAAGCGUGGGGGAGCAAACAGGAUUAGAUACCCUGGGUAGUCCACGCCGUAAACGAUGGGCACUAAGCGUCCGACGGGUUCGACCCUGUUGGGUGCUGCAGUUAACGCGUUAAGUGCCCCGCCUGGGGGAGUACGGUCGC